CCUACGGGAGGCAGCAGUGGGGAAUAUUGGACAAUGGGGGCAACCCUGAUCCAGCCAUGCCGCGUGUGUGAAGAAGGCCCUCGGGUUGUAAAGCACUUUCAGUGAGGAAGAACGCCUGGUGGUUAAUACCCAUCAGGAAAGACAUCACUCACAGAAGAAGCACCGGCUAACUCCGUGCCAGCAGCCGCGGUAAUACGGAGGGUGCGAGCGUUAAUCGGAAUUACUGGGCGUAAAGCGCGCGUAGGUGGCUUGAUAAGCCGGUUGUGAAAGCCCCGGGCUCAACCUGGGAACGGCAUCCGGAACUGUCAAGCUAGAGUGCAGGAGAGGAAGGUAGAAUUCCCGGUGUAGCGGUGAAAUGCGUAGAGAUCGGGAGGAAUAACAGUGGCGAAGGCGGCCUUCUGGACUGACACUGACACUGAGGUGCGAAAGCGUGGGUAGCAAACAGGAUUAGAUACCCGUGUAGUC
rnacentral:rRNA from 1 species